CCUCAUCCAAUGGCCCUGCGCGAGUCUUCCACGUUUAUGCUGUAACAAGUGGAGUUUAAAACUAUUUCCACCUCAAUUUGUGGAAUUAAUGCCCAAAUUAGAAAAUGCAAAAAAGCACUUAGAAAAUGUUACACCGAGUCAUUCUGACUUUAUUUUUCAAUUUCUAUACAGAUCGCGCUAACCAAUCACGCAAUUCCAAAAAUAAAUAAACACAGACAGUGAGUGUGCUUCCAUGGAGAGAAAGAGUUAAAAAAAAAUCGAGAGACGCCUUUCUCUCACGUUCCGCGACAUCUAGCAUGCAGGCAAAAAAAAAGAGGAUUUAGAGACUUAUUUCUAAAAAAAAAAAAAAAAAAAGUGUCCUCUCAUCCGCAGAGCAGCUAGUGUGUCACAAUUCUGCAGGCCUGCGCCCACAUACACGCACGAACUGGAGCUCCGUGAAGAAGAUGAGGAGGAGGAUGUUCAAAUGGCAAGACGAGCAGCAAGAUUUCCACGCAGGAAGAAGAGCUGUUAUUGGAUCGCUAAAGUUGGAUUUCUCUCAGCGGUCAGCGCUCACCUGAGCAGCGGGGAUUUCUUUCUUUAUUCUUCUUCAAGACGCAGUGGCAUGUACAGGAGUUCUCUGACAAACAAACGGAUGCAAUUAAAUUCACUGUCAUCACACAUCAUCACUGAGGAAACAAGAAAGGAGAAGGAUGCACACAGGGCCAAGGACUGAAGGAGAAGAGGUCCACUCCCAAGGACACUAAAGUGAACUCUAACAUGACAGUCUUACUCAUUGCAUGAAGUGAGAUGUGUAUUAUGGGAUGCACUAAUACAAGACUUCAGGUACCUAUAGAAUAUUUGAUAUCGAGUGCACAUAUACAUGUUUGGAAUUUCGAUGAAAUGCAUUCUUCUUGUGAAAGUAUUGUUAAAAAUCACAUUUGAUAGAAGAUAGCAUUAUUAUUAUUAUUAUUAUUAUUAUGGUUGAAAGUGCCUAUGCUUUUGAAAAUGAAUUCAUUUUACUGAUAUGAGUAUUUGAAUUAUUAACAGUUGUUAUCAUUCAAACAGUAAUAAUUGUAACAAUUCUCAAUCUUUUAAUGCCAAAAAAUGGGUUUACCUAUAACAAAUACAAAGACCAUAAGAGAGAAGUGAUUGGGCUUCACUAUCACAACUUUUUUUUGCAUAUUAAUAAAAACAUUUAUAAUAAAAUAUUAAUAUGUUGAUGUAUAAUAUUUCUGUAUAAGUUACUGCGCAAUUUGUGUGCAUAUAUGUGUUAUUUAAGUUGUAUGUUGCAACAAUGUGUUUGCGAUGUCUUAGCAUUAAGCUAGCUAAGAUGGAACGUGAUUGCCUGAAUGCAGCAUAUUUAUUUAGUUCUCUUUAUUGUUUGCUUAAUUUUACAGCAAGCAUCAACGAUAAAUGCCUUGAAGCAAGCAAAUGUCAACUCUUUUUGAAAAAUUAGCUUCUUGCCAAACUGCACACUUAUGGAAGACAGAAUAGUAUUGUACGGACAUAUAUGCAGGCUGGUAUUGGACGUCAGAGAAUCGGAGAGUUGAAUUUCAGAUGUGGAGUAUCGGUGCAUCCCAAGUGUGUUACGCAGUGAGUGGAAAUGUGUUUGCAAACACAGGCUUGAAUUGCACCUUGCCUCUGUAGGCGUCCUGCGUGCACGUAGAGGUGUGUGCACGGCGUGCGAAAAGCUGCCCUGCAGACCGGACCUGUGGAGUCUUCAAAGGAAGAGGAAGUCAAUGUAGGGUGGGGGGUGGAUUUGUUCUGGCUUAUUUGGAAACCUGGGAUUUGAAUUGGAUUCUGGGAGGCAUUCAUAACACAUUUGAAAACGUUACAUUGUGAGAUUUCAUGUUUAAUCCCCAUCAUAAUGUAUUUUGGGGGGGAAUGGUCACAGCGCUUGAUUCAUCAAAUGUUUUUUUUUUUUUUAUGAGUGGUGGGGGCCUGUGAGCUUUUGCAGAGCUCCUGAAGAUCAGACUCUUCCCACUUUAACCUUCCUCUCCACUGUGUUUUGUUGAUCUGACCUGGAUGUAUGAUGGGGUCAGUGUAAAAAAAAUAAUGACCAUGAAUAGCAAUACUUUUUUUUUUCGUAAAAAAGAUCAUGUGUAGUAAGGCUUUUAUUCGUAAAAAACAAUGACAUGCAAAAAGUUCUUGAUAGAAAUCAGGAUUCAACACUCUUGUCGCUCAAUGAGGUCGUCAAAUUAUUAGAGACAGAUUGCAGUAUAAAUAUUUAUUUGCUCAAAGUACAAGUAAAAAAAAAAACUUAAUGAAGUACCCAAUUUUGAUGGUUUCAGUACUUUUAAAUCAGUCAUGCACAAAAUCUGGGUGUGUUUAUGUGCAUGUGUGUUAUGGUUCCCCAUCCAAAGCCCACUUUGCUUUGAAUGACACUUUGGCGAUGCCCCCAGCAUCCCUCUUGGACAUCUCAAGUGUACCCCCUGUUAGUGGCAACAGUGCCAAUUCCUCCCCACUCUUUAAUAUCUCUCUUUGGGUCCUCUCUGGCUUUCACCAGUGAAGGCUCCUCCGUGACAGUUGGACAUCGUCGUCGCUUCUCGGGAGACAGCGGCGGGUGCGUUCCCAGCCUCGGGCCCGCGGGGAAUCUGCGAUGGCUCGCCUGUCAGUCGGCCCCUCCCCUGCAAUUAGGAGAGUAAACACAGCGCUGGGAGACAAGAGGAGGGAACGGCGGAGGGCGGGGAGGGGGGCCUUGACGCUCCUGUCCUACUGCUGCUUGAGUUGUCCAUCAGCAGCUUUGGAUAGAGAGAAAUAUUCAUCAGAUGAUGUUGAACGAGACAUUUAGGAACUGGCUAAUGAACGUGAAUCCGUUGAUGGAGUUGAAUGCUCAAGUCAAAAGAAAUGUGGAGUGUAAAUGGUUAAAGGUGUAAUCAUUUCAAAUAUCCUGAACAACGAGCAAAAAAAGAGGCAACAUGAGAACAAUGCUAUUGUAUUGACAUAUGAGCGUGUUUGUUUUCUAUCAGACAAUCACAAUACAAAGCAGCCUCACCUCCAACCCCCCCCUCCCACCCCUCCCUUCUCUUCUUCUUCACCUCUCUCCUGGUUGCUGGGGGAACUGGCCAGUGGCUUCUGGAAUUUGGUGUGGGCCGGACUUGUAAAGCACAGAGCUCAGGACCAGCUUAGUGGUGGUGGGCCACCCCAACUGUCCUGAAGCCCCUCCACUCUCCCCGGGCAAGGAGGCCGGCUAGGGAAUGACACGUCGGAGAGGGGAGGAAUGUUUGUGGGAAGACCUGCCAGCAAAGUGCCAUGCGGCGAGCGACUGACAUCCUACACUGACAAGAAGAGAUCUUGGCCAAUGGAAGCUCAUCCCGUCAGUGUCAUUGAGCUUACGGAAGAUGCUGCUUGUCACACACGCAGACACAGUGGCACCACAUCUGACUGCUGAGACCUUUGUGACUUAAAAUGUGCCCCUCUCCAACAGAAUGGACCAAAUAUUGUGCAUGGUUAGUUUCAAUGGAGCUCACUCAAGUGUACAUCAACCACCAUCUGUCUCCAUUACGCGAGCAUGAUCACAUGCGCUAGUUUCUGUGUAAGUACAUUUUAAAUCAGAUGGUGUGCAUCAGUGUGUACAUGUGGUGGACAGGGAGAGCGCAAACGGAGGGGUCCCGGUGCCAUCGCCAAAUUUUUUUUUUUUUUUUACGUGGACCAGAGAGCCAUGCUGCAGCAUCAUGGUCCACAGCAUGCAAAGACAAGGGGGCAGAUGGGUGCAGUGUAGCAGCACAACCCCCCCCUUCUCCUCCCAAAUGUGAGGCAGCAGUGGUGGGAAUGGCACCGAAUGAGAGGGAGCGCGGAUCCAUGGCUGAGAGGGGGAAAAAAAACUGUUGGAGCGCUAUUCGGGUUCGCUUUGAAAUCCAACUACGGGGGCACGAGCCCAGGGAGGAGAGGCAGCCUGCUUAGACAGGCAGUCACCGUGCUGGGCCAGCGUCCAGCCCGGGCCCCCUCCCAGCCCAGACAAGCCCGUCUGGCCCGAGCUUACGGGAGUCAGGCGGCUGACCCCCGGUGGACCGGCCGGAGCCCAAUAUUACCGGGGACCCUCUCAGAGACUUUCCAUUUCCAAACAGCAGCACGGCACCUUGGAGUGGGGGUGAAAGGGGGAAUCGGGGGGGCUCCUCCAGCACGCAGGUCUCUGGAUGGGCGCCCGGUGUAGUCUGUCGCUGAUGAUAACCCCCACCUCGCUACCAGGCCAUUCAGCCUUCAGGGCCUGUGCAGGUCCACACGUCACCAUGGCAACAGUGGCAUGGCAAUGUGAGUGGGCAGGAAGCCAGGUGGUGCCAAAUUGGGAUGAAGGAGGACAUUUUGGGGCGACUUCGUAAUCCUUAAACCUUCAUAUGUUAGCUAAUAACUUCACCAGACCAUUUAAAAAACAUCUUACCAAAUGGAAAAUAAUGGAAAUGAAACCAAUAUUACCAAACUUUAUAACUACAGUAUGUAAACAAUCAUUUUCUGCGUGACAUCCUGCACAAUGAAACUUUGACCUGAGUAUUUUUGCUCUACUUUUAAAAAACUUAUUUGUGACCAAAUAUUAUGGUGAGAUUCCAAAGUGUCUAAACUCUUUAGUAGCUUGAUGGGAUUUGGUGACACUCUGCAUUACUUUGUAACCUCCCACUUCUUUUUACAGGCACUAAAAACCAUCCUACAGUUUGUUUUGCAUGUUUAAAAUGAAAACCUUGCGGAAAGAAUUGACCUGAUACAUUGCUCGUGUGUUUAAAGAGACUUUGUCACUGCAACAUUAAGCUUGCGUAAACACAAGUAAGUUCAACGACAUUCACAGCAGCCACCUAAAGUUGACUCCACGCCCACUCUAAGCCACUGGGAAGACUCUGUAAGUGGCGGGGCCGCUGUUUACUGAAAGUGGAUAUCUGCUGUUUGUUUUCUUGUUCUGCUCCCCGACUGUAAACAGCGCCUGGAUUUUCUUGAGUGCUGUCUUAAAACGUGCAUGUUGGUGCGUGUGCGCCAUGUGUUAUAUUUGCUGAUAACAGGAUUUACUCCAAUUGCGACUCACCAGUUGAGAAAGGUUAAUUGUCGGCGCAAUCGGUAGAAUGGCGACAUGCAAUAAUUAUUAGCCCGAGUUGCUUUAUUAUUUAGGGAUGCUAAUUAGGCAUUAACAAUGCUCUCCUUUUUGGAUCACAACUUCAAUUGAGUGUCGAUUUGCGUGAAGUUUACUUUGACAUCCAUUCAUCAAACUAAAGGAAUGUUGUUUUGUAGAUGUCCUUACUGUGCUUAUGAUUAUAAAACUGAAGAGUUAUUGAUCCCAAAAUUAGCAGAGGGAUUUGGAAAGAUUGCUCCGUGGAGUGCUUCUUCGUUUUAGUCCGUAUAAGAACAAUGCAUUUUCAUGAUUUUUUUUUUGCUGGUUUUAAUGGUUUGGUAAUUCUAGUGCACAUCAAAGAGUGUUUAAUACAAUAAUGCAAAAGUGGAGGGGGAAAAAAAGCACUUGAGCAGAGAUUUGAAGUCUAUUCUCAGUUAUUGCUCCGCUCAGAGAGCGAGAGUGUGUAUUUUGUGCGCCACCCAUGUGGAUGAGUGUGGCAGCAAGACGAGGUGGAAAGUGACAUGGAACGAAAGCAAGAGAUCAAGGCAUGGCUGCCAGUGCAUGUCAUUGGCCUACACUCUCAUCAAAUAGCCCCGUGCUGCUUGUGUUGCUGCCCAGACGCAAAUUAAUUUGGACGCAUGGAAAGACUGCAGAGUUGGAGACUCAUCUCUGCCCUUUAAAAAGAAAAGACACCAGCGGAGCGCACUCCUCCAGCAAAGGGGGUGUGUGACGAUGGCUUUCAGUGGACUGUCUGGAAUAAGAUGGGAGGGAACAGAGGACAUGCUUGAAUGUGCUUGUCCUGCUAUGAUGACAAGAUGGCUCAGGCACCGCUGUGCCACCGGCCAACCGGGCCCUCCCCCCUUGUGUUCCCCCUCAGGACAGCAGUGAGGUGGAAGGGAGAGGCGAGGGAGUGGACGAUUUAUGGUUAGCCGCCGUUUAAUCUCUUCUUUGGCUCACAGCAGAUUCUUUCACGACAUACCCGACUCCCUCUUUAGUCCAAAUCUGGACCGACUCAUCUCGAGGUGGGCUUCAUAUGACGGCAAGGGGGCUCACUUGACCAACUCUGAAAUUGAACAUGACUCUUUUCACACAGGCCAAAGUGAAUGCCUUGUGAGUAAAGAUGUGCAUUUGCCGUAGUACUAAGGUCAGUUUGUUUAAAGACCACUAAAGAAGUAAAACAGUUCAUUCAGGUGGACAAAGAAGUCCACCACUAUAAAUUUGGAUUACAGGCAAUGACACAAUUAAAGUUGACCAUAGCUGCUUUAUGGCUCUACUCUACUGUGCUGUAGUUUUUGUCCUAUAAUCCAGAGAUGUCAAUUUUUGGUGAAUGCAAAAAGGCAUCAGGGAGGCCUAACCUGAACCCCUAACCUUAAAACUAACCCUAAUCCAUAACCCAAACCCCUAAUUCCCUAAACCUACCCCCAACCCAAACCCGAAUUCUAACACUAAUCCAACCUCAACUUCAUUUCCUGUUGACCUCUUCCCUGAUAGUAAAAAAACAACAACAAAGGGUUAGUAGUAGGAUUAGGAUUAACCAACCCGAUGCAAAAUCUUGUGCUGAGAGGAUGCAAUCAAAGAAUUUUAAUUUAUAAGAAAUUCAAAACAAUUUCACUUUCUUUUUCCACAUUCAAAUUUGAUGGCAAGAAUGAUGAUUUGUUGAAUGUUAGUGUUCAGUGUUGACAUUGGAUAUUUACUAAUCUGGCUAUUUAUGCUUUCGUGUCAUUGUAGUUUACCUCAACCAGUCGUUGAUACUUUGUUGAAGAGGAGCAGUUGAAAGCGAGAGGAUGAUCAUUUUUUUCAUGAAGGAAUAAGACAACUUUUAUGUACCUUUACUUUGAACAGCAGUUGAUUUACGGGCUGGCUGGAGUUUAAGAGUUGGCCAAGGAAGGGGCUUGGGGGGGCAUCUUUCGCUUCAGCGGACCCUCGUCAGCAUGUCGUUAACCUCCCAGGGCUAAGGGGGGAAAGAAAAUCAGGCCUGUGUGUAUGCUUAAAAGUCAGGGUUUGUUUGUAAGGUGCCUGGGGAGGUCUGGACCCCCCUGCUGGAGGACAAGGUAACAAAACAGCAGCAUGCUAACUGAGGGGGUGGGACUCACCGGGGGCUUAAGCAGCCCCCUGCAUGCUAUCUUAAGUCGCUUCAGUGAAGUCUUACACAAUUGUUUGGAAACAACAACAAAAAAGAAAACUUUCAUGACUUUAGUAUAAGUUUUUUUGUAAUGAUUAUGGAUUGCUCAUAAGAUAUUAUAUGUUUGUUAAUGUGUUUGUUCAGUGAGUUUGUUAAAUUACCUAAAUUUGAUUUCAUUUUAGUUAACAGAUACUCCAUUGUCGGGCUCAAUUGUUUUUUGGUAUUUAAUGUUAAGAAAUAAUAACUACUUAGUUUUCAGUCAGGCACAUUUUUUAAACUGAAAAUAUUUGGAGUGUUUUUAUUUGGUGUUUUCUGUAUGAGCUUAGCUUGUCACGUGUUCUUCCAAAUUUAUAAAUUCAGUAAAGGCACAACUGUAUGUUAUUCUUGCAUUAUUUGUUUGGCAGGCUUAGGUGACAAUAAUAUUUUUUUUUGACAUAACCAAGGUACCUCAAGUUGUCAUGUGUAAAACUUUAUAUGAGAACGUACAUCUGCCAUGAUCCAAUAUCAAAAGUGAAAUGGAAA